rnacentral:rRNA from 1 species
GACGAACGCUGGCGGCGUGCCUAAUACAUGCAAGUAGAACGCACAGGAUGCACCGUAGUUUACUACACCGUAUUCUGUGAGUUGCGAACGGGUGAGUAACGCGUAGGUAACCUGCCUGGUAGCGGGGGAUAACUAUUGGAAACGAUAGCUAAUACCGCAUAAGAACAUUUACUGCAUGGUAGAUGUUUAAAAGGUGCAAGAGCAUCACUACCAGAUGGACCUGCGUUGUAUUAGCUAGUUGGUGAGGUAACGGCUCACCAAGGCAACGAUACAUAGCCGACCUGAGAGGGUGAUCGGCCACACUGGGACUGAGACACGGCCCAGACUCCUACGGGAGGCAGCAGUAGGGAAUCUUCGGCAAUGGGGGGAACCCUGACCGAGCAACGCCGCGUGAGUGAAGAAGGUUUUCGGAUCGUAAAGCUCUGUUGUUAAGGAAGAACGUGUGUGAGAGUGGAAAGUUCACACAGUGACGGUACUUAACCAGAAGUACGG